ACUUAAAUAAUUUAAAUAAAAAUAUUGAUUUGUGGUGUCAAAAAUGUGAAAUAAAUAAAUCAUUUUAAGUU
rnacentral:tRNA from 1 species